AAGACUAUACUUUCAGGGAUCAUCUCUAUAGUUGGUUCCUAGAGAACCUUCUCUGAUCGUGUGGAGCCCCGAAGCCCAUGAGGAAGAGGUGCAGCACUCUCUCCUGAGCUUGAAGCCGGCUCUUGGUGCUGCUUUACUGCAGUAGCCAUUUGCCAUUGAUGAUCGUUCUUUGCCUUUGUGCAGGUCGAGAAGGGGCUUUCAUUUAAAAAAA